UGCAGUCGACGAGGUCGCCUUCGGGCAAUGACCAAGUGGCGAACGGGUGCGUAACACGUGAGGAACCUGCCCCGAAGACUGGAACAACCACGGGAAACUGUGGCUAAUACCAGAUGCCCUCCGCUGAACGCAUGAUCGGCAGAGGAAAUGCUCCGGCGCUUCGGGAGGGCCUCGCGGCCUAUCAGCUUGUUGGUGAGGUAACGGCUCACCAAGGCAUCGACGGGUAGCUGGUCUGAGAGGACGAUCAGCCACACUGGGACUGAGACACGGCCCAGACUCCUGCGGGAGGCAGCAGUGGGGAAUCUUGCGCAAUGGGCGAAAGCCUGACGCAGCAACGCCGCGUGGGGGAUGAAGGCUCUCGGGUUGUAAACCCCUUUCAGCAGGGACGAAAUUGACGGUACCUGAAGAAGAAGCCCCGGCCAACUACGUGCCAGCAGCCGCGGUGACACGUAGGGGGCGAGCGUUGUCCGGAAUUAUUGGGCGUAAAGAGCUCGUAGGCGGUUUAGUAAGUCAGAUGUGAAAGGUUGGGGCUCAACCCUAAGACUGCAUCCGAUACUGCUAUGACUAGAGUCCGGUAGAGGAGUGUGGAAUUCCUGGUGUAGCGGUGAAAUGCGCAGAUAUCAGGAGGAACACCGACGGCGAAGGCAGCACUCUGGGCCGGUACUGACGCUCAGGAGCGAAAGCGUGGGUAGCAAACAGGAUUAGAUACCCUGGUAGUCCACGCCGUAAACGUUGGGCACUAGGUGUGGGGCCUUAUCAACGGGUUCCGUGCCGUAGCUAACGCAUUAAGUG
rnacentral:rRNA from 1 species